UCCUUUUGGUUACUCAGGUCUCUGGAUUCUUAGAACCUCUGUGGUAUGUCUGAGUACUCCUCUUAGACGGCGUGAGCCUCCGUCCCCGGCCAUGGAUAAGAAGAGUCUCAGCUCCUUGUGAUGGCUGGAAGAUGCCCAAGUGAGCCAGAUCCUGUCUACUCUCCCAGCCUCAUCUUCCCCACCUGCUCCAGUUCCUCAGCUGCACCAAGCUCCCUCUCAUUCCGGGGCCGUUGCGUUUCCUUCAUCUCAUUGGAAGGUUCUUCGCUCAUCCUCACAUGACCAGCUUUGCCUCAUCACACAGAUCUCAGCACCAAUGUCAUCUCCUGACAGACACUCUCUGCUGUAUCAACCUAUUUAAUCUCUUCAGAGCAUAUAUGACAAAAGUCAACUUGUUUACUUUUUUGUUGUUUUUUUGUUUUCGUCGUACUGUGUAUUAUCUUUCUCUCUCCCGUGGUCUCCAAAGGCCAUGUCUGCCUUGCUGCAUUCCACACUGCUGUAGCCCCAGCGCCAAGAACAAGGUCUGCCAGUGGGUCGAUGUGCUAGAAAUACAUGCUGUUCAGGUGGCUGAAGAGUCUUGAGGUGAAAAUGACACUCCAGACCUCACGUGCCAUUCACCAUCCAUCGUCAAUGCUGUGGCCUGGCCAGCGGUUGCCACCCCCACCCCACUAGGACUAACUAGAGCCAGCCAGGUAAGCUAUCAACUCUAUACAGAAUCACAGUAAGUCCAUUCUCAGUGUGGCUACAUGCUACAACGUAAGAACAUGUGGCUAGUGGAGAAUAGAAGCAGAGGACUGCAUUACUAUUGCUCAAGGACAAAGGCAUAACCAGUGAUGGCAUCAGUGAAGGGCAUGGCAGGGCACUGGAGCAAGAACUCAGCUUCUGUUCUACUUAGCAGAGAACAGAGGCACUUCUUCUGCCAUGACACCCCUGAGAGCCAUGACGUUAAGUUUAAAAAGUGGACCCACUAACUUACAGGUGAUGUCCAGAUGGGCAUUUGGACACCUUUUUCUUCCAUGAAGACUGCAUGGUUUGGAACGGUCUUUAAAAAAUGGUUUUAGAAAUGCAUUGAUGCUGUCUGACUGCCACGCAGAAUUCCUCUUGAUGGCACAUAACACUCACAAAAGAACCUUUUAAAGUUCAAUUUUAAUGCCUGAGAUGCCAGUUUGCAAACUAGUUUCAAUUCUAUUCUGAUUCCAAAGAAAAAAAUUACAUGAGAAUUCAGGAUUUGAGAAAUAUGGUUCCUAGUCACAGAGACGAGCUGUAAAAAUGGAAAACAUGUGGGGUAAAUAAUACACACUGAGGACAAGGCGAAAUAUAUGAAAAACUUGUAUCUGUACUUUUGUUUUUGCUGUGCAGUUUACACAAAUCACUGCCUGAGCAUUAAUAUUUAUACUCCGAAGCAUUUUUUUUCUACCAUGCCCAUCAAACUGUCAUAUAAUCAGGGUAGUCAGUAUAUCACAUAGCACAGGGGAGAACAACUUGCCGGCCUCCAUUCCUGUAAAUAUUUUCCUUUUGUGCUGGAUUAAGAUUAUCCUCAUGGUAGGGGUCCUUGUGGAAGCAGUUUGCCAGCAUAUUUUAUGAUUUAAAAAAACAGGGACACUUCAAGUUUCCACAAAGUGGGUGUUUAUGUUCUGCAUGGGAGAGACCUUUCUGACCUAACCCCUAAAGUUUUUGAAGUGUAUUCAUCCUGAAUUUAUUUUUAAGCUAAAGAGAGGUCCGUUUUCUGCAGAGAGAUGUUGUUCUUGGCAGAAAUCACAAAUACCAAAUUCAUUCUUGGAUUAUGGCUUGUGUGAAAGUACCCCGGCUGCCUCUUAAAGCUUCUAAAGGGAUACUGGCUCUUGCACUGCCCCUACUCAAAUAACUACAGCACGGCUUAACAUCUCAAACCCUGAGGAAAGGGCUUGAGGGCCUUCGAAAGCCUGUGCAUUCUGACCCCAACCUUCCUUUACCAUGAUAUUUAUUUCUCAGCGCUUCCCUUCUGCUUGGGGGGUGGGGGGAGGUGACAGACACAGCACCAGGGCUGAAGUCAGGCAGACCUGGCUUUAUCGCUCGCUUUUGCUCUAUAGUCUGUGCCUGACUUGGCCUAUUUCAAAUGUUACUGCAAAAUUUGGAUCAUAAUGGACAGUCACUACAGAAAAGCGGUUAAAAGCUCUGGAUCUAGAAAAAGACUAUCUGAAUUUACAUCUUGGCCCUUAUGCUUGCUUGUUCUAUGGGAGUUAGCACAAGGAUUUGAUUUUUCUAGGUGUCAUUUACCUCAUCUAGUAAAUAGAGCUGACAUGAGUAUCUCCUUUCACAGUUUGUUGUGAGCAGUAAUAUGUACAGCAGCUAGCUACUGCUGUAUAACAAACUAAAAAAGGUCAAUGGCUUAAAAUAAAAACCUUUAGUAGUGCUCAUGAGUCUAUGGGUUAGCUGGGCAGUUCUGUCUUAGCUGGACUCACUUCUGCAUGAUUAUUACGCAUCAUUAGCUACAAGUUGGGUAGGAAGCUUUACUGAGCUUGGCUGUGCCCCUUCAUGUGGUUGAGAGUUAGACGGCUCAAGAUUAGUCUAGUCUGAUCUUGGAUAGAACGACUGGCUUCUCUUCUACAUGGUGUCUUAUUCUCCAGCAGGCUCUCUUGGACUCGUUCUCAUGGUGGAUGGACGAAGAGGGGGAGAGAGAAAGGGAGGGAGAGAGGAAGAGAGAGAAAGAGAGGGAGAGAAAGAGAGAUCAUUUCUGCCACAAAGCAAAGCCAAAGUCAGAGAGAAAGGGGUUUCCAAGUCACAGAAAGGAACCUGGGUACAGAGAGACCAGUAAUUUGGAGCCAACGGUAUGAUCAAGGUAGCACAAAGUGCAAAGUACUCAGUAUAAAAAUGAUCUUACAGCAACUUCUUAAUAAAAGUUGGCUACCAUGACUGAACAGUGCCUGAUAAGGCCAUUAUGAGGAUUCGAUCUCAAAGAGAUAACCAUGAGGGCACUGAUGUUAUUCACAAUGGAAUGGGCCACUAAAUAGCGGUGGUCAUGCCCCCCUGUAUCCCAGACUGGCGACGCUCCAUCUUCUGUUCUUUCUACACGUCUUUGCCAUACACACACUCUAGGAUGCCCUAUCGGAACCUUCAAGGUCUUGUUCCUGAUUGUUCCCAUUCCCCAGUAAGAUCCCCCUUCCAGUGACCCUGCAGCACCCUUUAUCUUCACCCUGUGUCAUCCAGCCCCUUCUUCCUUAGAUUUUGGGUAUUGAUGAUGAUGCACUGUCUCCCUGAUGAUUCUACUACCUCCUUGAGAGCAGGGGCUGUUUAGGAAUCAUAGGUUUUACUUCUUUCCAACACCCAAGUACUAGACAAAUUUGGGAGUUGGGGUGGAAGAACAAGGGUGAGGGAGAACACUAAGUUGUAUUUUAUUUCCCGGCUUUAGGAAUACUGGCUAAUCCUAUUAAUAUAUUAAAUUAUUUUUGCACUAGUACCUCCAUGGUUUACUGGAAGAGACAGAAAGAUUUAUAAUUAAGUUCUGUAUUUUGUUUAAGUUUGGUUUGCUGUUUAUCUUUAAAAUCUUACCAUUAGAACUUUGUUCCUUAUGCUUAAGGCAUGAUUACUCCUUAAAAUGGCUCGUCUAUAAAUUACUUUUAUGAUAAUUGAUGCAGUGUUUCAGAUGAGGUGUUUACUUAUACUAAUUUAUGCCUAAUAACUCUCCUAUGCAGAUGUCUCUUAAUCCUGCUGUCUCCUUCAGUCUUAACCUGAAUCCACUGAUAUUUGCAGGAUGUGACAACUGUUUGUGUUCCCCAGAAAUCAUCACUUUGUGUCCAAAGCCCUAGAGAGCAGUGACUAUUCUACUUAGCAUCACCGGAGGGAGGUGCCAAGGGAAGGAUGCAGCACUGCUUUGCACCCCUCACAGAGCAGCUUUCAAAAUUCCCCUUCAAUGGGUCCCUUUUCCUCUGUGCAGGCAGCCAACCUGCUACUCUUAGCUCCUCUCCUCCCAGGUGGCAACCUUGCUCAAACUUCACGGGUUUUCUAGGUCUUUCACUUUUCUACUUUUCUGGAGAAAGAGUCAAAAUUAAACCAACACCCACCCUGAGGGUAGGAGUUAGAACUAGUCACAGGUGACAUAUUACUUUCCUGUCAUCCUACAGGCCAAAUUUUCAUGCUUUGCAAAACCAUUCAUUUCCUGGCUGUCAGAGAGUUUUAUAUUAUGCCUUCUGGUUUUAGGGGGCAUCAUGCUGGUGUUAAUUCAGGGGUUUAUUUUUUAAUAUCGAUGUUAGAUUUACUUUACUCUGCCAGUGUCUCUGGAGGAAAGGCGGCGGAUAAAUAUAAAGCAUCAUAAUUAACUAUUAUUACAUUGAUGUGUAAAAUAUAACUUAUUCCUGACAGUUUGGUCGGUUGGAAUUAGAUGACGUUUAAAUAUUUCAGACCAGCUCUCAAUACCUGUGACUUUUGCUCACGCUUUUGAUAUUUUCAAUGUUUAGAACCCUAGUGAAGCAGGCAAAUUAUUCUGUGGAAGCAGAGCAUGGUGGGGGGGGGGAAACUGCAUGGGUUUAUCUAGAUCAAGUUUAAGUUCUACUCUCUAAGCACUGGCUGGAGGGGGUCUGUCUAAAUGGAAGUCUCUGCAGAAAAAGUAGGUUGUUCUGCUAACCUUGGUCUCAAUGAGCACCUGCAUAAAAUAGGUGCUGAGCAAAACAAUUAUGAACUUAGUCUGAAUAAAAACAUCAAUGCAGAAAAGAAGAGACAGGUGAACUCUCUUCUUUAAGAGGGACUUGGAAAUGUGGCUCUAGGCUGCCCUGAGGUAUUGAAUGUGAAUGGGGCCCUGGGAGAGCAAACCAUUUCCCCAGGAGGAGUGAAGCCUUUUGAAUAUUCAGGUUGAAGGAGGAGAGAUCUGAGCAGGGUAAUGAUGGAAGAAGAAUGGCUGCUCACAUGAAGGGUAGGAGCUGAAAAGAUGACAGAAUUGUUCGUCUCUUCCAAAAGGCAGAGCAGAACCAAUGCAAAGGUUGAUCCAGAGAAGUAAAUCAGGGCCACAUAAAAAGGAAUUCCUAGAGAUAAGAGUAAUUCAACAAUGAGAUCACUUUCCUUUAAAUAUUAGGAUCCCUCACUCUGUUUUCUGAACGUUGAAUGGGAAUAAUAUUAUUCACCAACAAUCAAGCUUCCAAACUAGGGUGAGGGUGACAGGGAUGAUUCAGACAACUCUACAAUUUCAUGGUUUUAGUCAGAGAAGAUCUGGAAGAAGUUGAGUCUAGAGCUGGGUCCUAAGUGACAAUGAGGGAUUCACAGACAACACAUGAGGUGAAAGAAGCAGCCAAGCAGAGGUUAAGAGUAAGAACUUUUGCGGUAUGUAUGAGGAAAGUGAUAAAAAACAUCUCCUAUUGGAGGCAAAGCUGAUGGAGAGGAUUGUGGAAGAUAAACCUUGGUGUAUAUCCUGGGUCUCAAGCACCCUGGGAAACUUUUUUUUAAUAACUUAAUGAAUUUUAUUACAUUUAUAGUUGUACAACUAUCAUCAAAACCAAAUUUUACAGCAUUUCCAUCCCAAGCCCUCAAUGCAUCCCCCCACCCUCCAACCUGUCUCAUUUGGAAACCAUAAGUUUUUCAAAGACUGUGAGUCAGCAUCUGUUCUGCAAAGAAGUUCAUUGUGUCCUCUUUUUACACUCCACAUGUAAGUGAUAGCAUUUGAUGUUGGUGUCUCAUUGUCUGACUGACUUCACUUAGCAUGAUAAUCUCUAGGUCUUUCCAUGUUGCUGCAAAUGCUGUCAUUUCCUUCCUUUUAAUGGCUGGGUAAUAUUCCAUUGUGUACAUGUACCACAUCUUCUUGAUCCACUCCUCUGUCGAUGGACAUUUAGGUUGUUUCCAUGUCUUCACUAUUGCAUAUAGUGCUGCAAUGAACAUUGGAGUACACG
rnacentral:lncRNA from 1 species